CCGCGGUAAUACGUAGGUCACAAACGUUGUCCGGAAUUAUUGGGCGUAAAGGGUCCGUAGGCGGUUCGGUAAGUCUCCCGUGAAAUCUUCAGGCUCAACUUGAAGAGGUCGGGGGAUACUGCCGAACUUGAGACUGACAGAGGCAAGUGGAAUUCCCGGUGUAGUGGUGAAAUGCGUAGAUAUCGGGAGGAACACCAGUGGCGAAAGCGGCUUGCUGGGUCAGUUCUGACGCUGAGGGACGAAAGCGUGGGUAGCAAACCGG
rnacentral:rRNA from 1 species